rnacentral:lncRNA from 1 species
GCAGCAUAUGGACGUUCCCAAGCUAGGGGUCAAACUGGACCUACAGCUGCUGGCCUACACCACAGCCACAGCAACUUGGGAUCCGAGCUGUGUCUGUGACCUACACCAUAGCUUAUGACAACGCCAGAACCCUGACCCACUGAGCAAGACCAGGGAAUGAACCCCCAUCCUCAUGGAUACUAGUUGGAUUUGCUUCAUCUAUGCCACAACAGGAACUCCGGAAAUAUUUUAUCUUCUAAUGAGAAAAUGGUUAUUUCCCAGAGUAGAAAGGAUCGAAUAGUCUAUCAUCAACUUGCUAAUAAAUCUAAGAUUUUUACCCUGGUAACUAAUAUUCUACUAAUUAUUCUUUAAAGAAAUAUUUAAAGAGAAGCAAAUAUUUAGGAGAAGCAAAACAGAGAUCUCAUCUGCCUAAAAGUAUUUACUGCUUAGAGCAAUGGAAUAGAAAUUUAAUUUUUACUUUGGGAAUAUCAGUCUACCCCUUCAGAAGUAAAUCAACAAUCUAACCAGCACAAGUAGUAAAUACAUCGAUAUAUCAGGGGUCAGAAAACCACUGCAAACCUGAUUUUGUAUGGCUUACAAGCUAAUAAUGGCAUUUACAUUCUUAAAUGAUCAGCAAAAAAAAAAAGAAUAUAUUGUGACAAAUGAAAAGAGUGUGAAAUUCAAAUUUCAAUGCCCAUAAAUACAAUUUUAUUGGCACAUAGCUAUGCUCAUUCAUCUCCAUGCAGUCUAAGGCUGGCUUCACUCUACAGUGACAGAGCUGAGUGGCUAUGCCAGAGACUGCAAGGCCUGCAAAACCUAAAAUAUUUCCUACGUGGCUCGUCGCAGUAAAAGUUUAAUGAUCCUUGCAGUACAUGCUUAACAAAACCAAGUUUAAACACCUAGUGUUAUUUAAAAGCUUCAUGCUUUUUGGUCUGGAGAGAACACCAGAAAUAAGAGUAGCCUAAACAGCAACCAUCACAGGAGUUCCCUGGUGGCUCAGCGAGUUGAGGAUCUGGCAUUGCUACUGCUGUGGCUCAAGGUUUUGCUGUGGUGUGGGUUUGAUCCCUGGCCCGGGAACUUCCAUAUGCCAUAGGUACAGCCACCAUCAUGUAAUCUUAAUGCAACAAACAGAGAAGCUGCCGAAAAACUGGCUCCCAAAGCACAUUUAUAUCCUAAACCCAAAAGCAUGUUAACACUGGACUGUGCUCCCACAAGCAGCAAUGAUGAAACUCAUGUCUUUCUGGCUCCCACCCGGGGUGGCCUUUACUUCUCUCUGAAGUCAUACAAAUUACUUCCCAAUGGGGAAGACAGCAGACUCUUGGCAUGUGUAGUCACUACCCAUCUCAGAGGGUUUCUGAUCAAGGUUAAGUAUGUGAGGCUGCUUUAAUACAAUGCAAUGCACUACAACUGACAUUGUCCUCUGGCUCCUAGGGAAAGUUUUAACCCGGCCCGAUUUAAAAGUGAGGUCAAGAGUGGAGAGUGGUACAGGAAAGAUCAGAAAAGCGGACAGAAGAGCAGCAAAAGAAGGAAAGCCAAGGCUGGCUGGUUUCUCUUUGUCAUUUCCUUCAAGCUCAACUCUCAAAGGCCUGAGACAGCCUGAUGGAAAUCAGCCCAAAGAGAGGGAACCAGGAGGACUUAAAAGAUUUAAACAGUGUGAUGCGCUCCAGAUGCUAUAAUGAGAAGAGAUUUAGAGUAAAGAUCAGCCUCCAAAACACAUGAAAUUUUAACUUCAGAAUUGAUAAAGGAAAGGCUAAGAAAACAAUAGGCUGAAAUAGCCUGAAUGUGUGUGUGACUGGGUCACCUUGCUGUGCAGUAGAAAACUGACAGAAUGCUGUAAACCAGCUAUAAUGGAAAAAAUAAAAAUCAUUAUUAGAAAAAAAGAUGCACGUGCAGACACACAAAAAUCACAUUCACUAACAUAUGCCUAGAUUCAAAAAGGAUGCCUCCACUUAAUACAUAUUUCUGAUGAAUUUAUUUUUAACCAUAAAAAUUUUCCUUAGUGUAUUUGUUUCCUAACAGGAAGAUAUACAUCAAUGAAUGAGAAGAUACAAAUAACAACAACAAUAAUAUUAUACUUAAUAGACAGAAAAAUAUCAGUAGGUCAGUGAAAUGGGUGGUAAAAGGUACCUGGAUAUGUAUCUAUAUUCCUAUAAUAAUGCAGCAAAUCCAUCAAUAACUACAAUAAAGUAAUUUUUUAAGGCAUAGCCUCUAAUACUAGUAACACUGUUAGAGGAAAACCCUAAGAGGUUAUCACUGUGUAUAGUAUGCAACUGCCUGUGUAGAAAGAUGAGAAGAAAAAUAAUGCAUUCUUGCUUGUAUCUAAGUGAAGGAAACUGCAAAGAGCAGUUGCCACAAAGUGUUCUAAAACAUAGGUUUUAUUAUUAUUCAGUGUACGGUACAAAAUUGACAGAACACUGUAAACCAACUAUGAUGGAAAAAAUAAAAAUCAUUAAAAUUAAAAAAAAAAGAAUGGUCAGGCCACCAGAUUGGGAGACAACUGCCACUGAAAAGAGUUUAUUAUUUGCAACUCCAGAGAGGAGGGGGACCACACCACACCCACCACACAGGGCCACAGGAGGCUGCACCAGGGAUCAAGAGGCCAAAGUUGCCAUGCAAAAGCAUGGGCCAGAGCCUUCCCUGAGGAUGCCACCAAGAGGGCAAGGGGAUGUAGCACAAGCAAGUUUAGAAUUGGCUAGUAUGACUUAUUUCAGUGGGCUCUGGUAUUCACGACAUGCAUGAAUCUCAAAGUGAAUAUGCUGAGUGCAAGAACCAUUACCCACCCACC